GAUGAACGCUGGCGGCGUGCCUAACACAUGCAAGUCGAGCGAUCUCUUCGGAGAGAGCGGCGGACGGGUGAGUAACGCGUGGGUAACCUGCCCUGUACACACGGAUAACAUACCGAAAGGUAUACUAAUACGGGAUAACAUAUGAAAGUCGCAUGGCUUUUGUAUCAAAGCUCCGGCGGUACAGGAUGGACCCGCGUCUGAUUAGCUAGUUGGUAAGGUAAUGGCUUACCAAGGCAACGAUCAGUAGCCGACCUGAGAGGGUGAUCGGCCACACUGGAACUGAGACACGGUCCAG
rnacentral:rRNA from 1 species